CCGCAUCUGUGCAUGCAGCAUAUCAAUAAGCGGAGGAAAAGAAACUAACAAGGAUUCCCUCAGUAACGGCGAGUGAAGCGGGAAGAGCUCAAAUUUGAAAUCUUGAAAGGUCACCUUUCACGAAUUGUAGUUUAAAGAAGUGUUUUCUGUUACGAUCGUAAUAUAAGUUCUUUGGAAUAGGACAUCACAGAGGGUGAGAAUCCCGUCUAUGAUUGCGAUUUGUAGCUUUGUGAUACACUUUCAAAGAGUCGGGUUGUUUGGGAAUGCAGCCCAAAACGGGAGGUAAAUUUCUUCUAAGGCUAAAUAUUGGCGAGAGACCGAUAGCGAACAAGGUACCGUGAGGGAAAGAUGAAAAGAACUUUGAAAAGAGAGUUAAAUAGUACGUGAAAUUGUCAAAAGGGAAGCGUUUAACACCAGUGUUGUUUUCUGAAAAUCAACCUCUGUUAGCUUUAUGCAUGUUUGUUUAGACCUAAUCAGCUAUCUUGCAUGUUCUAUUGUUUGCAGUGGUGCACUUUUCAGUUUACAGGUCAACAUCAGUUUUUUUUACCGUAAAAAAGUUAAAGAAAGGUAGCUCAUGGCUCCGGUCGUGAGUGUUAUAGGUCUUUUUCCUAUGCGGUAGGAGAGACUGAGGUCUGCAGUGUAGGCUAUUUGGCUAGAUACUCAGGUGCUAUGUGAUACCAUUUCAUAAACAACUUGUUGAUUAUGUUUUGUCUAUUGCAUACUCGCUUGUACUAUCAUACCUACGCUUAGGAUGUUGACGAUCAGCUGAGCGCG
rnacentral:rRNA from 1 species